GAUUUUUGUGCCCUGAUAUAUAAUCUUAUGGAGGCGGUGGACUGAAGAAAUGUCUGUUUCCGAUUCACUUUUGUUUUCUUUCUCAGCCUCAGGUGGUUGCUUUUGGGGGGGUCCCUGUAACCUUUGCGAGCGCCCGAUGGGGCAGGGGGCCCAAAGCUCCAGUGACUUUGGGAGCUGAGGGGCUGGCGGGAAGGGAAGGUGUGGCAGGGUGGCCAGAGGGGUGGGGAGCAGGGAGCUUGAGGGGGACACAUCAGAGGCUGCGCUGGGGCUGGAGGGAGGAUGGGAGGUGGUAGAGGAGGAGGAGGUGAGGAGCAGAGGUGAUGAAAGGAGAGGUCUCAGGAGCCACUUCGGGGAGAGCUUCAGUUUCCCAAAGAACCACUGCAGUUCCCAAUUAUCUUUAGUAAAGUCAUGCCAACCGGAAAGAGGGGGACAGAGUUGCACCCUGGUGGCACAUACUCAGCAGGGGUGCAAGAAGGGGAUUUUGGCCGACUGAGAAGCUCCUGUGGGAGGCACAGGAUCCACUAGAGAGACAAAGAGCCUCCCCAGGAGCCAAGAUGGACUCCCAGCCCAGGAGGCUCCUUCCAGAAGCAGCCUGGCCCUCGCCCAGCUUCCAAGAGCACACUCCGCUGGGAGACUCAGCGUCUGCCCUCACUGCGCCUCAGCAGGCAUUUGUUCAGCACCGGAUCGGGGGUCAGAAUCACCACCAGACGCGCAGACGAGCAGAGACCAGAGGCGAGACAAAGGUCUCUGCGGGCGCCGCCAUCCAGCCUGGGAGGGUGACACGAGGUGGUCACGUCCAGCUCACCUGCAGGGCAGGGCUGGAACCAGGAGCUGCUGGGGCUUUGCUCCCGGUGCCCAUGAGCUGCCAGGACCUUCCCAGUUGCCAAGCCCUUGGGUUCUGUCGUGCACGGCUGUCCUGCAGGGCAGAUGGCCGACCGUCCCUCCCUGGACGCUCACUGUUCUGCCCCCAUCCUUUCUGUCCUCCCCACAGGGGUCCUGGCCAGCCUGCCGCUAUUGCCCCAGAAUGUUCCCGGCGCUCUGAGGCUUGCCUUCCGCCCGGAGUCGAGACAGCCAGCCCUACUCCUAGCUCACUAGCCCGUCGACCUGAAGGUGGCUGGCCCUCCGGUUUUGUUCCCCCAAGGAGCAGGCACGGGUGCACGUGUGUCAGGAGGGCAGCACAGACGAUGAGCAGAGAGACCGUUCCCGGUGUCCCGGGCUGGGGGACACUCGAGGUGAUGUGUCACCGGCUUUUCGUGGCCUUCCGAGCUCUCCUCCCGGGAGGGAAAGGUGGAGGACGAGGCUGGCCUCCGGGGAGGGAGCCCGGAUAUCUGGACCCUGGUCAUUUUCAGGUUAUGGUUUCUGUUCAUGGUUAACUAGAGGCAAGAGAACUCUGCACAAAUUCUAUCAGCUUUGCUGCUGAGCUCAGAGAAGGAGCGUGCAGACCCCACCUGCAGCUCAGAGGGCAGGAGCGGGCUGGGAAAGUCGCUCUGAAGGCGACGUGGCAUCUGCCCUGCACUUGGUGAACUCUGCUGUGCUAGCCGGCGUCCCAGGUCUGUGCGGCUCAGCCUUGCCCGUGUCUCAGGGGCCCCGAGUCCAGCCCUCUCUGGCUGCACCCUAGCUACCUGCCUUGGGUGUUGCUUGCCGGGGAGGUCGUGCUGCAGCAGUAGCCGGCUGACGCCAACUGGCGUGUCUCGCUCACUGUGGUGCAGGCGGCAGGGCUUCCCUUUGUUAUCGAGGGACAGGUGCUCCACGUGGGGCUGUCCCUGAAGGGAGGGGCGACUUCGUCUGUGACCCAUGCGCCUGGCCUGCGGGCCACCUGUGUCCUUACCUGGAAGCUCACUUAAAG